rnacentral:rRNA from 1 species
CUUGCCCGACGCGCUGAGAGGAGGUGCAUGGCCGUCGCCAGCUCGUGUCGUGAGAUGUCCGGUUAAGUCCGGCAACGAGCGAGACCCCCGCCCCCAGUUGCUACCCGGUCCUCCGGGACCGGGGCACACUGGGGGGACUGCCGCCGUUUAAGGCGGAGGAAGGAGGGGGCCACGGCAGGUCAGCAUGCCCCGAAACCCCCGGGCUGCACGCGGGCUACAAUGGCGGGGACAGCGGGUACCGACCCUCGAAAGGGGGAGGUAAUCCCUCAAACCCUCGCCGUAGUUGGGAUCGAGGGCUGCAACUCGCCCUCGUGUAACGAGGAAUCCCUAGUAACCGCGCGUCAACAUCGCGCGGUGAAUACGUCCCUGCUCCU